rnacentral:misc_RNA from 1 species
GACACGGCAGACGAAUAGAAGGGUUUCAGUUCUAUUUCCAAGCUUGUCAGUGGCG